ensembl:lncRNA
AUGUUAUGUUAUUUUAUGUUGAUUUUGUUAAAUAGCAGGCCUGCACCUUCUGUUCCUUCGCUAGACCCAGGGAUCACUGCCGUUGUACCGACCGUUGUUAAAGAGAGGGACAUGGUGAGGCUGAUCUGCAAGUCAAAAUGUAUUGGCUAUCCCCCAGCCAACGUGGUAUUGUGGUCACGAGAUGGAAAAGCAGUGGCCAGUCCAACGUUCCAGGCCGGGCUGGACGAUGCAGGGAGUUACCAGUGUGCCUGGGAGGGACUGCAGUCCAACACAGUAACCCUCGAUGUUCAAUACCUUCCACGGAACACAACGGUGUGGGUCGAACCCCAAGGAGAGCUGUUGAAAGGCAAUAGCGUGAACCUGACCUGCAGCAGUGCUGCCAACCCACCCGUACACAACUACACCUGGUGGUGGUACAGUGGUACUGAACCACCCCCCGCCAGCUCCAUGCUGGACCUCAUCGGAACGGGACAGGUGUUGCACCUGGCCUCUCUGGUGACCUCUCAGACAGGAUAUUACCUCUGCCAGGCCACGAAUACUCUGGGGGAGAGCAACUCCUCUGCACUGCUGCAGAUUGAGGGGACCACACUGGGUCUGUAUGUUUAUAUGGAGAGAGAGAGAGAGAGAGAGAGAGAGAGAGAGAGAGAGAGAGAGAGAGAGAGAGAGAGAGAGAGAGAGAGAGAGAGAGAGAGAGAGAGAGAGAGAGAGAGAGAGAGACCCUUCCGAUAGAGGGACAUCCGAUUUGGUUACAUGUUUAGGUUACAUGUGUAGACAACCGAACUUCAACAAGGUAGGCUGAUAAAAUUGCGCACACUAAAAUAAACAUUGUGUUUCAUUGUGUGGAGUAAAUACGCAACCAUUCUGUUCAAUUCAGAUUGACAAGAUUAUAUCCUAUGAACUGCUAGAUUAAGUUGGUGGUCUGUCCCUUGACACGGCCCUGGUCCAUAGCAGUAAUCCCAUCCUACAAAUGACUACCAUUGCUUACGAUUGUUCCUUUCUAACUAUCUUUCAGCAGGCAGAGCAUCUAUAUUCAUCAGAUCUGGAGUAGUAGUCACUGUCCUUGUGGCACUCACUGUGCUGGUUUGCUUUUGUUCACGGUGAGUCUAUCAGACCAAUGAAGGAAGAAUAAACAGUUCUUAGUGAGAUUGAAGGAACAGCCUCGUAGACUGUGGCUAAACGCUGCUUAUUACAAUUGUGGCUACUGUGUAGGGCUGAGGGAAAGGACUGGUCAGGGAGUCCUUUCCCUGACCCAAAUGCAACUCCAAUAACGUGUUAUAGCAUCACAGAUGGUGAUAGUACUGCAGUCCAAUGUGCAAUAGUUGCUUGCCCGUUAUUUAAUUUAAUCUAAAUUCAAAUGAUUUCUCUGAGGAAUUUUUAUUUUCAUGAAAAGCUGAAACCGUCAUUCAGUAAUUAUUCCGUGUUGAUUACGGCCUCUGCUUUUUCUCAACAUUUGAACAGGAAACAACCAAAGACCAAGGAAAACCAACACGUGAGUGCAUAUAAAGUGUAACUUUGUCUUUGUAUACCCACAAAUCACACUUUAGGUUAUUAAUCUAAAGUUAGAUGGACAAGCCCCAGUCUGAGUGAAUGGGGCUUUUCACCGUCUUUCACUUCAUAUUUGUUUCAAUUAUUACACUGUAAAAAAUAAAAAGUUGAGAAAACUCAAAAUUGCAAGGCAACUUACUGCAAUCAAUUUUUGAGUUUUGAGCCCAACAAAAUGUCAUUUUUCUUCUUUAGACAAACGUGAAAGUUAGAGUUAUACCAACCAAGAUUUUAUAUUUUACAAAACUCAAAAAAGUAGGUCAGAGGUUUUAACUUAAUAUUUCAAAUUAAGGUUAAUAUUAUUUAAUAAAAAACAUUUCAAAGAAUGCAAAACUAGUUUUAAGUUCACUUUAAUAAAAUUAAUAAUUGGAAACUUCCAUUUAACAUUUCUGAAUGCCAGACAUCGACAGAACAAGCAACAUGUAGCUAGUUCAGCAGCAGAGAAUCGCAGUCUAAAUGCAGCAAACCAAAAAGCAGAACAAGUUAGACAUUAUGGUCAAACUUGUUCUGCACGAUACGGGAGCCCAGGUUAAACGGUGAUGCAACUCUCGUGCCUCAUACACCGCACGAUCCCGAGAGCUGCCUUUAUUUAACACCCACCCACAACAUACAGCGCACCGCACACCCAACCAACGGACAUGCAAGUCUCGGUAACGGUGGCGGCAACACUACGCACAAUAAACAACACACAAACAAUAAAGACCCCAAACCCGUUAACCCUACUUAACCUAACAGAAACAAAUUGACAAAAGGCAAUAAACCCCUUUUUCCCGACAUCACUAAUACCCAGACUCCCCGGGGGGUAGGAGUCGCCACAAUAUUUACCAUCUGAAAAUUCCGUUAGGAAACCCCGUAUUUUCCAAAGUGUCGAAAUGCGCAGGUGCACCGUAGUUGGCCCAGCCUCAGACAGAAGCUGUGUUCGAAAUCGUUCCCUAUCAUGGAUGUAGUGCACUAAAUAGGGUGCACGCCAUUUUGUAGGGUGUUCGAAUUCUCAGUGGUCCACUGGACA